rnacentral:rRNA from 1 species
AUUGAACGCUGGCGGCAGGCCUAACACAUGCAAGUCGAACGAGUGGCGGACGGGUGAGUAAUGUCUGGGAAACUGCCUGAUGGCGGGGGAUAACUACUGGAAACGGUAGCUAAUACCGCAUACCAUCAGAUGUGCCCAGAUGGGAUUAGCUAGUUGGGGGGGUAAAGGGUAACCACGGCGACGAUCCCUAGCUGGUCUGAGAGGAUGACAAGCCACACUGGAACUGAGACACGGUCACGACGCCUACGGGAGGCAGCAGUGGGGAAUAUUGCACAAUGGGCGCAAGCCUGAUGCAGCCAUGCCGCGGGUAUGAAGAAGGCCUUCGGGUUGUAAAGGACUUUCAGCGGGGAGGCGUUACCCGCAGAAGAAGCACCGGCUAACUCCGUGCCAGCAGCCGCGGUAAUUC